AAUGAACGCUGGCGGCAGGCCUAACACAUGCAAGUCGAGCGCCUCGCAAGGGGAGCGGCGGACGGGUGAGUAACGCGUGGGAACAUACCCCUUUCUACGGAAUAGCCUCGGGAAACUGAGAGUAAUACCGUAUAAGCCCUACGGGGGAAAGAUUUAUCGGGAAGGGAUUGGCCCGCGUUGGAUUAGGUAGUUGGUGGGGUAAUGGCCUACCAAGCCGACGAUCCAUAGCUGGUUUGAGAGGAUGAUCAGCCACACUGGGACUGAGACACGGCCCAGACUCCUACGGGAGGCAGCAGUGGGGAAUCUUAGACAAUGGGCGCAAGCCUGAUCUAGCCAUGCCGCGUGAUCGAUGAAGGCCUUAGGGUUGUAAAGAUCUUUCGUGGGG
rnacentral:rRNA from 1 species